rnacentral:lncRNA from 1 species
CAUCUAUCGCCUAAGUGAUGUGACUCUUUUUCUGCCUGCAGCCUGCACAUAGAGAAGAUUGUGACAUAUAGCUCUGCCCAGUAACCAGGUGAUGUGUCUUUUCUGGCAGGUCUUUUCCCACAGGGAGCAUUGUGAAACAUCACUGGGCUCAGCCACCAGGUUAUGUGACUCUUCUGCCUGUGCCCUGCUUCCAGAAAAUAUUGUGACAUUCCUCAUACAGCAUCCAGGUGAUGUGACUCUUCUGCUCAUUUUCUACUUACAGGAGACAUGCCCAAAAAAGGGAUUGUGGCAUAUCUCUGAGCCCAGCACCCAAAUGUUGUGACUCUCCUGCCUGAGCUGUGCCUAGAGAAAAUAUUAUAAUAUGUCACCGGACCCUGCAUGCAAGUGAUCCAAUUCUCCAGUCUGGGCCUUGCCCAUAGAGGAGAUUGAGACAUAUUCCAGGUGAAGAAUUCAGGUCAUGCAAAUGGAGGCGGAUUUUGACAUAUCAUAAAGCCAACAUAAUACACAGUCUGCAGGUGGAAUUGGGACUCUCAUGCAUGGAUCCAGUUCAUCAUUGAUACUGUGACUCAUGUACUUGGAUGCAACUCACAGGAGGUGUUGACGCUUUUUACCUGAAGCUGGGACAUGUGUGGAAUUGUGAAUCCUAGCCCUAGAUCUUCCCACAGGUCAUGCAAAUGGAGGGGGAUUGUUACAUAUCAUAGGGCCAACACAAAAAUAAUGUAAAACUCCUGCCUGAGCCAUGCCCAUAGAAGGCAUUGUGACAUAUCACCCGUCACAGCACUCAGGUGGGAUUUUGACAUAUAACUGCACCCAGCACACAGGUGAAGUAUCUCGUAUGCUCAUCCUGCCAAAAGUUAUGAGUGUCACCCUCACACAUGGACAGAGACCUCUGGUUA